CAUAUAAUCCUUGACAUGCCAGAUCCCAGCUGAUUUUGGCUGCUAAGCAGGAUCAGGUCAGGCCAAUACUUGGAUGGAAGACCACCAGAUAGUACCAGAUAUGU
rnacentral:rRNA from 1 species